rnacentral:rRNA from 1 species
GACAGAGGUCCCGAGCGUUAGGCGGAAUCACUGGGCUUAAAGCGUGUGUAGGCGGACUUCUAAGUGCCUUGUGAAAUCCCACGGCUCAACCGUGGAACUGCUGGGCAUACUGGUUGUCUUGGGCCAUCUAGGGGCGAGCGGAACAAACGGUGGAGCGGUGAAAUGCGUAGAUAUCGUUUGGAACGCCAAUGGUGAAAACAGCUCGCUGGGGAUGUGCCGACGCUGAGACACGAAAGCCAGGGGAGCGAACGGG